rnacentral:rRNA from 1 species
UACGUAGGGACCGAGCGUUGUUCGGAUUCAUUGGGCGUAAAGGGUGUGUAGGUGGCGCGGUAAGUCGGGUGUGAAAUUCUAGGCUAACUCCGAAACUGCAUUCGAUACUGCCGUGCUUGAGGACUGGGAGAGGAGACGUGGAAUUUACGGUGUAGCGGUGAAAUGCGUAGAUAUCGUAAGGAAGACCAGUGGCGAAGGCGGGUCUCUGGACAGUUCCUGACGCUGAGGCACGAAGGUCAGGGGAGCAAACGGG